CAGCAGAAAGAUUUCGGGUUUGUAUUUUAUCUGUUCUCCUGUAAUUUCUUGCACCGAUUUCCAAUUUUUUGUCUAGUCAAGUGUCUAUUUAUGAAGUGGACAAGCAAGAUUGUCGCAAGUUUUGCACCACUGGCAUUGACGGAGCCAUGACCAUCUGGGACUUCAAGACUUUGGAGUCCUCCAUUCAGGGUCUACAGAUAAUGUAGAACGGAUUCUUGGUUCCUCUAGCAAGACAGCCUCUUCUGAAGCCUGCACAGACUUGAAAAGACAGGGUGAAGAUGGAUCACACUUUUGUUUUGUUUUGUUUUCUAAAGCACUGAAAAAAACGACGACUUGGUGAAAUAUUUCCACCCCCUCAUUUUCCCUCCCCCUCCCCUUUGGUGAUAUAUAUAUUGAUCUGCCAAUCACCUGUGAUCGUAGUAUAUAUUUUGGGUUUCUGGGUUCGUUGUUGUUUUUUUAAUUGUCCUUGGAUGUUGUUGUUUUUUUUUUUAUCCCCUCCUUUUACCAAAGCUGCUCCUUAAAAUAAAGUUUAUUGCAGGAAGUAUGGAACACUAACUUAAACCCGGGGGAGUUCUUUGUUCAGCUUGUCUGCUAGAAAAUAAUUAAAAUUAAAAC